rnacentral:rRNA from 1 species
AAUCAACGCUGGCGGCGUGCCUCAGACAUGCAAGUCGAACGAUUAAAGCUCUCUUCGGAGAGUGCAUAGAGUGGCGCACGGGUGAGUAACACGUAAGUAAUCUACCCUCGAGUGGGGAAUAACAGUCGGAAACGACUGCUAAUACCGCAUAAUGCAGCGGCACCGCAAGGUGACAGUUGUUAAAGGAGCAAUCCGCUUGAGGAGGAGCUUGCGGCAGAUUAGCUAGUUGGUAAGGUAAUGGCUUACCAAGGCUACGAUCUGUAUCCGGUCUAAGAGGACGGUCGGACACACUGACACUGAAUAACGGGUCAGACUCCUACGGGAGGCAGCAGUCGGGAAUUUUGGGCAAUGGGCGAAAGCCUGACCCAGCAACGCCGCGUGAAGGAUGAAGUAUUUCGGUAUGUAAACUUCGAAAGAAUGGGAAGAAUAAAUGACGGUACCAUCUAUAAGCUCCGGCUAACUACGUGCCAGCCGCCGCGGUAAAAC